UAAUAAUACUUAUAUAGUUAUAGUUAAUAUUAAAUGAGUCAAAGCAGGUAGAACUUUCUCCUGGAACAUAAGUAAGUAAUUUUAUAAAUUGCAUUAUACUUGGGAUAAUUCAUUAUAUUGUUAUGAAUAAAACAUAAGUUGGAGAUAAAGUAAUCAAAAUUGCAAGAAAAUGCAUAGUGUUUUAUGGUGUAAGAAUUCUGUAACAAGUCAGCAAACAGUGGGAUAGAAAUGGUUAAAUAUUAAAACCUUAAACAGCUAUAGACAGAGAUGCUUAAUAAAGAUAUAUUUCUUUAUAAUAGGGAGUAUGUUUUUUAGCUUGUAAAUAUUUGGAUUUACUCUUUUUUGCCCAAAGGAAUGAAGCAUAAAAAAACCCAAAACCAUUAAAGCAGUGUUGGCAGAAGACAAAGAGAAAAAAAAAGGAAAAAAAAUAUUGAAGGUUUGCAAUGUUAUCCAGUUCUAUGUCAUUCAUUAGAUGUUUAGUCAAAGAAAUCUUAUACCCAGAAGUAACCAGACUGUCUAUUAAGGGUUUGUCCUCCUCUUUCUGCAAAGUGUCAAGACACAGCUCAUGUGCAUGUGUCUCCUUCAUUAGCAUUCAUAAGUCCCUUCAGUCAGAAGAGAUGACUUCAUCUGUGUGAUUCUCUGGUGACUUGUGCUUCCCUAUUUUGAGAGUGUUUCUACAUUAUUUUAAAAGUCUCUACAUUUAAGAAAAACAAUGAAAGGUUAACUGACUUAAGAUUAUGGAAAUGUGUGUUUUUUCUCCUUAUUUACAUAUAUUCCAAAAUUUUUAUUGUGAUUAUAUAUUACCUUUAUAAUAUAAAGACAUGGUAUAUAAGACGUUAAGCUUUUACAGUUACAUUUUUUAAUAGAAACACAAAUAAACAUUUCUCACUAAAGAGUAAACUUCUUAUAGACAGACAUUUCAUUUAUUCUUCUCUUUCUUUUUUAAAAAAUGUAUUUUAUAAUCUAUCUCUAUUUCAACUGGGAGAAUACUGACUAAAUUAUUAUUACAAAUUAAUAGCAUAGUAUGUCAAAUAGUGAAACAAUAAAUAAGUUUUAGCAAAUUAGAUUUUUAAAACAAAUGAAAACACAAAUAUGGAUGGCUAGCCUAACAUGAAGACCUGAAGGACAAAUGACAUUUUAAGAUUUUUCUCUGUACAUUUUAUAAAUAUCCUCGAUGUUUGUUAUAGCAUACACCAUUUUGUUGAUAUUAAAUGUGCUGGCACUUAAUCCAGUUUCUAAACUUAGGAUGUAUUUUUUACAAACCAGUUUUGCUUGUGUUUUUUUUGUAUAUUUUUAUGUUUAUUUAUUGAGAGAAAGAGAGAGAGAACACGAGU